rnacentral:rRNA from 1 species
UACGUAGGGGGCAAGCGUUGUCCGGAAUUAUUGGGCGUAAAGCGCGCGCAGGCGGUCAUUUAAGUCUGGUGUUUAAGCCCGGGGCUCAACCCCGGUACGCACUGGAAACUGGGUGACUGGAGUGCAGGAGAGGGGAGUGGAAUUCCACGUGUAGCGGUGAAAUGCGUAGAUAUGUGGAGGAACACCAGUGGCGAAGGCGACUCUCUGGCCUGUAACUGACGCUGAGGCGCGAAAGCGUGGGGAGCAAACAGG